rnacentral:rRNA from 1 species
AACGAACGCUGGCGGCAGGCUUAACACAUGCAAGUCGAGCGCCCCGCAAGGGGAGCGGCAGACGGGUGAGUAACGCGUGGGAAUCUACCCAUCUCUACGGAAUAACGCAUGGAAACGUGUGCUAAUACCGUAUACGUCCUUCGGGAGAAAGAUUUAUCGGAGAUGGAUGAGCCCGCGUUGGAUUCGCUAGUUGGGGGGGUAAAGGCCUACCAAGGCGACGAGCCAUAGCUGGUCUGAGAGGAUGACCAGCCACCCUGGGACUGAGACACGGCCCAGACUCCUACGGGAGGCAGCAGUGGGGAAUAUUGGACAAUGGGCGCAAGCCUGAUCCAGCCAUGCCGCGUGAGUGAUGAAGGCCCUAGGGUUGUAAAGCUCUUUCACCGGUGAAGAUAAUGACGGUAACCGGAGAAGAAGCCCCGGCUAACUUCGUGCCAGCCGCCGCCGUAAGAC